UCAUUUUGUCAUAAUGUUUUAGGUAAUACUGGCUCAAACUCAAUAAUGGUCAAACAAAUUUAUUCAAUAGGACCAACAAAAUAGUUUCAUUUUGAAUAUAAUAAAAGAUAAGAUUAUUCAACACUUUCAGUGAUUAAUGAAAAAAAUUGCACUCAAUGUUGCCUUUUUAAAACCUGACCUUCUGAGGUCCCACUGCAUUCUGAGGUCCUUUUACCUGUAAGUAUCUUAAAUAGUUAUAUAACUUUAAAUUCAGUUCAAUUUCUCUAUUAGGCGAACAAUCAGAUUGCAGCAAGAAUUCACAACAAAUAAAAUUGAAAUCACUUCCUAACUUUCCACUGCUUUUAAAAGAAAACCAACCUACAGCUAUCCUAAUGACAAUGAAAGAUAAAGAAUCCCUUCAAUCUGUAAGCGCAAAUGAAGUUAAAGUUUCAAGUACUAUUAUGCAACCAAGACAUGAAGCACGCAGUUUGGAAUUGACCAACUUUGAGUUGUCAGACAUUUCAGAACAAGAUGACUUAAAUUUAAAGGAUUCUUCUGUGAAUGAUGACGAUUCACUGCAAUCACUGUUAAAGAAAUUACAUGUUAUUACUCUAAAGUCAUAUCAAAGCAUUAAAGAAUUAACUUUGAGAGUUUGUAGAAUAGAAGAUGAUUUGUGCAAGAUCAAAUUGUCGCUAGUAGGAAAUAUAGCGGAGGACAAUCAAGACCAAAUGUUUGUAAUGGAGCAAUACAAGACUAGUGAUACUUUCCAUAAUUUUUGUAAAAUGCUAGAAGAGGAUUCUGUGUUUUGAAAGUUAGUGAUAAAGUUCAUGAAUAUUAACUAUGGUCAAAAAUCAAUUGGGCCUUGUGUUAGAUCAAUAUUAAGAGCAUCUUUAUCAGAUAAUCUAAUGACUUUGUUUAAUCGUACAGGCUCCAGGGGCCAAGAAAAACUGCCUCUUGUAUUUGAACGGUGUAUUUACUCUACUAUCAAGUCUUUUUACGAGAAAGAAAAAAUUACAGUUAUGCGUGGGAAGGAAGAAUUAGAAACCACAA